GUAACAAGGUUUCCGUAGGUGAACCUGCGGAAGGAUCAUUAAUGAGUUAGGGUCUUCUAGGCCCGACCUCCCAACCCUUUGUUUACUAGACCUCCGUUGCUUCGGCAGGCCCGUCUUAAUCUGACCGCCGGAGGACCGCCUAAUACGGGUGUUGCCUCUGGCCAGUGUCUGCCGAUAGCCUCAUCUCCGAACUCUGGAUCAAUCAUGAUUUACAAUGUCUAAGUGAUUUUAUUCAAUUAAAAGCAAAAACUUUCAACAACGGAUCUCUUGGUUCUGGCAUCGAUGAAGAACGCAGCGAAAUGCGAUAAGUAAUGCGAAUUGCAGAAUUCCAGUGAGUCAUCGAAUCUUUGAACGCACAUUGCGCCCUUUGGUAUUCCGAAGGGCAUGCCUGUUCGAGCGUCAUUAUCACCCCCUCAAGCCCCUGCGCUUGGUGUUGGACGGCUUGGUGGAGCGAGUUCACACUUUCCACCCCUCCUAAAGACAAUGACGGCGGCCUGCGGAACCCCCGGUACACUGAGCUUCUUAACUGAGCACGUAUCGGAUGAAGGGUGCCCGGGACCCGGUCUUCUCCCUCACGGGAACACUUUUUUCUAAGGUUGACCUCGGAUCAGGUAGGAAUACGCGCUGAACUUAAGCAUAUCAAUAA
rnacentral:misc_RNA from 1 species